CCUACGGUAGGCAGCAGUGGGGAAUAUUGGACAAUGGGGGGAACCCUGAUCCAGCGACGCCGCGUGAGUGAAGAAGUAUUUCGGUAUGUAAAGCUCUAUCAGCAGGGAAGAAAGAAAUGACGGUACCUGACUAAGAAGCCCCGGCUAACUACGUGCCAGCAGCCGCGGUAAUACGUAGGGGGCAAGCGUUAUCCGGAUUUACUGGGUGUAAAGGGAGCGUAGACGGCGAUGCAAGUCUGAAGUGAAAGGCGGGGGCCCAACCCCUGGACUGCUUUGGAAACUGUAUGGCUGGAGUGCAGGAGAGGUAAGUUGAAUUCCUAGUGUAGCGGUGAAAUGCGUAGAUAUUAGGAGGAACACCAGUGGCGAAGGCGGCUUACUGGACUGUAACUGACGUUGAGGCUCGAAAGCGUGGGGAGCAAACAGGAUUAGAUACCCUUGUAGUC
rnacentral:rRNA from 1 species